AGAGUGCAGCCAACUAUUUCAAUUGCCUAUAUAUAUAUAUAUAUAUAUAUAGGCAAUUGAAAUAGUUGGCUGCACACU